rnacentral:rRNA from 1 species
CCCUUAGAUGUUCUGGGCUGCACGCGCGCUACACUGAUGCGUUCAACGAGUGUAUAACCUUGCCAGACAUGGUUGGGUAAUCUUUUGAACACGCAUCGUGAUGGGGAUAGAUCAUUGCAACUAUUGAUCUUCAACGAGGAAUUCCUAGUAAGCAUAAGUCAUCAGCUUAUGUUGAUUACGUCCCUGCCCUUUGUACACACCGCCCGUCGCUUCUACCGAUUGAGUUUCUCGGUGAAUACUUUGGACAAACCCUCUUAGCGGUUCGCCGCUUUUAGGGAUUGAAAAUUGGGUGAACCUCGAAACUUAGAGGAAGAAGAAGUCGUAACA